rnacentral:rRNA from 1 species
CGAGGGGUAUAGGUUUUCGGACCUAGAGACCGGCGCACGGGUGCGUAACGCGUAUGCAAUCUACCUUUCACAGAGGGAUAGCCCAGAGAAAUUUGGAUUAAUACCUCAUAGUAUAACGACUCGGCAUCGAGAUGUUAUUAAAGUCACAACGGUGAAAGAUGAGCAUGCGUCCCAUUAGCUAGUUGGUAUGGUAACGGCAUACCAAGGCGACGAUGGGUAGGGGUCCUGAGAGGGAGAUCCCCCACACUGGUACUGAGACACGGACCAGACUCCUACGGGAGGCAGCAGUGAGGAAUAUUGGACAAUGGGCGCAAGCCUGAUCCAGCCAUGCCGCGUGCAGGAUGACGGUCCUAUGGAUUGUAAACUGCUUUUGCACAGGAAGAAACAACUCUACGUGUAGAGUCUUGACGGUACUGUGAGAAUAAGGAUCGGCUAACUCCGUGCCAGCAGCCGCGGUAAUACGGAGGAUCCAAGCGUUAUCCGGAAUCAUUGGGUUUAAAGGGUCCGUAGGCGGUCUUAUAAGUCAGUGGUGAAAUCUCCCCGCUCAACGGGGAAACGGCCAUUGAUACUGUAGGACUUGAAUUAUUAGGAAGUAACUAGAAUAUGUAGUGUAGCGGUGAAAUGCUUAGAGAUUACAUGGAAUACCAAUUGCGAAGGCAGGUUACUACUAAUGGAUUGACGCUGAUGGACGAAAGCGUGGGUAGCGAACAGGAUUAGAUACCCUGGUAGUCCACGCCGUANACGAUGGAUACUAGCUGUUGGAANCAAUUUCAGUGGCUAAGCGAAAGUGAUAAGUAUC